AGUGAAUAGAUACCCCGGUAGUCCCAGCUGUAAACGAUGCGCGUUAGGUGUAUCGGUGACCACGAGUCACCGAGGUGCCGAAAGGGAAACCGUGAAACGUGCCGCCUGGGAAGUACGGUCGCAAGGCUGAAACUUAAAGGAAUUGGCGGGGGAGCACCACAACAGGUGGAGCCUGCGGUUUAAAUCGGACUCAACGCCGGGAAGCUCACCGGAUAAGACAGCUGAAUGAUAGCCGGGUUGAAGACUCUGCUUGACUAGCUGAGAGGAGGUGCAUGGCCGUCGUCAGUUCGUACUGUGAAGCAUCCUGUUAAGUCAGGCAACGAGCGAGACCCACGCCAACAGUUGCCAGCAUGUCCUCCGGGAUGGUGGGGUACACUGUUGGGACCGCCUCUGCUAAAGAGGAGGAAGGAAUGGGCAACGGUAGGUCAGCAUGCCCCGAAUUAUCCGGGCUACACGCGGGCUACAAUGGUCAGGACAAUGGGUAUCAACACCGAAAGGUGAAGGCAAUCUCCUAAACCUGUCCUUAGUUCGGAUUGUGGGCU
rnacentral:rRNA from 1 species